GCCACUGGGGCAGGAUCUCUUUCUGGAGAUCCUUUCUCUGUGGAGUCUUUCCUGCAAACCUAGAUCUUUGGAUACAGGUGAGUGUUCUUUCCAUAUUUGUUUCUUUUCUAAUUUUCACCAUGAUAAUCUUUCCAGCUGAAACAUCCACUGUAACACUAAGAUGACAUAGAUGAGACACAAUGGUGACAAGCAUGGAAGCCCAAAGACCUAUUUGGGUUUGCAGGAUCUUUCCCUAUUUGCGAUGCAACAGGGCCAGAACCACAUGGAAUCUUUGAAUUAUGAUUGUUCUGGCCAUUAAAAUCAGACAAUCUACUUAAAUUACAGCUCAAGUCCUUCUCUUUCAUUGCUAUGAAAUGUUCUUUAUAGGUUUCCUGUCCCUCUUCAAUUAUCCUUCCUCAAAAGACUAAGAAGACUUACUUUCCUGAAAGUGGCUGUUGAAGAUAAGGUUGCAUAGCUUGAAGAGUAUGGUGAGGGUCACAGGAGGACAUCAAGUCCUGUAGAUUAUGCUUAGAUAGGAUUACUGAAUUAAGAUGCUAAAGUUCUGCGAAGAAAACAUACUGGAGAGCAGAGUAGAAUCUGUGGAGAUUACUGCAUCUCAGACAGUCACUGAAUUGGCUGCACAUAGAACCAAGAAUAAGGGCUGGUUCCACAAUGGAAGAACAUAGCUGGAAGAACUGGCUAUAAACACUUCUUCACUUUGAGCUUAUUGAAAAUAUACUAUCUUAUACUGUAAUACAGUUUGUCUUCGAAGUUGAGAAGGUGUUUGUUCCAUUUUGAGAAGUUCAAUUUAGGGAAAGCUGUGGACAGAGCAAGCCUUUCUUCUUUUUUCUUAUCUUUCUCUGAUGCACACUACCUGCUAAAGUGUAACAGCAGAGUGGUUACAGGAGUUUGCGGAACUUGGAGAGGGUAUGGUACAGAGCCUACUUCUAGAAGAAAGAGGAGAAUGAUGGACCAGCUGUCUAUCUUGGUUAUAAACAAUAUGGGAGGACAGUUAAAUCAGAAGAAUAUUGGUUAGCAACCCACAUUAGCUGUCCCAGAGUGAAGAUCAAGAGACUUCAUCAUAAGAAAUUGCAAGCACAAUCUCAGCCUCGUGCCCAACAGAAAUUUACAAUCAGAUUUCAUGACACCGGAAUUCAACACCAAAAGAAAAAAAAAAAAAACUAUCAUUAGUGAAAUUCUGGUAAGGGUUACCCUAUUACAAAGUUCAAGCAAAAGAACAGCUUUAAUGUUCACCUUAGAGCAAUGCAGCAGCAACAGCAGUAAUAUCAAUGAAUGGAUAUAAAUUUUUAUUCUGAUACAAGUAAUUAUGAUUUAUGACCAAUAAAUUCCUAUGCUUGCACUGUGGGUUAAAUGCAACUGAUAAUUCUUAAAAUGGAGUCAAACUGCCAACUGAAUUUUAAAAUAAAACAGAUAUAUCAUACUAAAAGUUUAAGAAUCCA